rnacentral:rRNA from 1 species
UAACACAUGCAAGUCGAGCGGUAGAUACUGGAAUGAUAUUUCGAUUGAGUGAAAGUAUUGAGAGCGGCGGACGGGUGAGUAACGCGUAGGCAACCUGCCCCAUACAGAGGGAUAGCCUCGGGAAACCGGGAUUAAAACCUCAUAACGCUGGGAGUUCACAUGGACAUCCAGCCAAAGAUUUAUCGGUAUGGGAUGGGCCUGCGUCUGAUUAGCUAGUUGGUGGGGUAACGGCCUACCAAGGCAACGAUCAGUAGCCGACCUGAGAGGGUAAUCGGCCACAUUGGAACUGAGACACGGUCCAAACUCCUACGGGAGGCAGCAGUGGGGAAUAUUGCACAAUGGGCGAAAGCCUGAUGCAGCAACGCCGCGUGAGCGAUGAAGGCCUUUGGGUCGUAAAGCUCUGUCCUUGGGGAAGAAAAAAAUGACGGUACCCUUGGAGGAAGCCCCGGCUAACUACGUGCCAGCAGCCGCGGUAAUACGUAGGGGGCAAGCGUUAUCCGGAAUUAUUGGGCGUAAAGAGUGCGUAGGUGGUUUUGUAAGCGCAGGGUGAAAGGCAAUAGCUCAACUAUUGUAAGCCUUGCGAACUGCAAGACUUGAGUGCAGGAGAGGAAAGUGGAAUUCCUAGUGUAGCGGUGAAAUGCGUAGAUAUUAGGAGGAACACCAGUGGCGAAGGCGACUUUCUGGACUGUAACUGACACUGAGGCACGAAAGCGUGGGGAGCAAACAGGAUUAGAUACCCUGGUAGUCCACGCCGUAAACGAUGAGCACUAGGUGUCGGGGCCGCAAGGUUUCGGUGCCGCAGUUAACGCAUUAA